GUUUACAUAGCUUAUUUUAAAGUAAAGCAUUGAAGCUGCUUAGAAAAUUAUUUAAUUUGUAAAUG
rnacentral:tRNA from 1 species